GUGAGGAAUAUUGGACAAUGGGCGCAAGCCUGAUCCAGCCAUGCCGCGUGCAGGAAGACGCAUCUAUGGUGUGUAAACUGCUUUUGUACGGGAAGAAACACUCCCUCGUGAGGGAGCUUGACGGUACCGUAAGAAUAAGGAUCGGCUAACUCCGUGCCAGCAGCCGCGGUAAUACGGAGGAUCCAAGCGUUAUCCGGUAUCAUUGGGUCUAAAGGGUCCGUAGGCGGUUUAAUAAGUCAGUGGUGAAAGCCCAUCGCUCAACGAUGGAACGGGCAUUGAUACUGUUAGACAUGAAUUACAAGGAAGUAACUAGAAUAUGUAGUGUAGCGGUGAAAUGCUUAGAUAUUACAUGGAAUACCAAUUGCGAAGGCAGGUUACUACUUGUGGAUUGACGCUGAUGGACGAAAGCGUGGGGAGCGAACAGGAUUAGAAACCCCAGUAGUCC
rnacentral:rRNA from 1 species